ACGGAGGGUGCAAGCGUUAUUCGGAAUCACUGGGCGUAAAGGACGCGUAGGCGGGAUGCCAAGUCUGAUGUGAAAUCCUAUGGCUUAACCAUAGAACUGCAUUGGAAACUGGUAACCUAGAGUAUGGGAGGGGGAGAUGGAAUUAGUGGUGUAGGGGUAAAAUCCGUAGAUAUCACUAGGAAUACCGAAAGCGAAGGCGAUCUCCUGGAACAAUACUGACGCUAAGGCGUGAAAGCGUGGGGAGCAAACGGG
rnacentral:rRNA from 1 species